rnacentral:misc_RNA from 1 species
UCCUCCUUACAGCGGCAGUUUGUUCCGAGUCCCCGACUUUACUCGCUGGUAACAGAACAUGAGGGUUGCGCUCGUUGCGGGACUUAACCCAACAUUUCACAACACGAGCUGACGACAGCCAUGCACCACCUGUGCACCACCCUCGAAGGCGGCACUAUUUCUAAUGCUUGCAGGUGCAUGUCAAGCCCUGGUAAGGUUCUUCGCGUUGCAUCGAAUUAAGCCACAUGCUCCACCGCUUGUGCGGGCCCCCGCCAAUUCCUUUGAGUUUCAACCUUGCGGCCGUAGUUCCCAGGCGGUUCACUUAAUGCGUUAGCUGCGGCACCGAGGUAAAACCCCGACACCUAGCACUCAUCGUUUACGGCGUGGACUAC